GCGGGAGCAGGUUGGGGGCGUAGAUGUGGGAGCAGGUUUUGCUAAGCAGAUAUCUCAGAACACCUUUAGUAAGAAAGAGGUUAGAAAGUAGGUGCAGAUUCGAGAUUUCAAGAAGAUUCUGAAGUGGGUGCAUUACACUAGAUAGAAGAUUCUGGCUACAAAGAUUGCAACUCAGAUUUUGGGAACUUCAUGUUAAAUAUUGAAAUUAUAACUAUGUUUAGGUAUAAGAAUUAUUUUUAAUAGUAGACUUCUGUUUAGUUGAGUCUCAUAAACUGAAGCUCACCAAGUAGAGAUUCACUAACUCUAAAAUUCAAGACUUACAAGAUCUAUGAGUUGAACUCUUUGAACGAGUAAUUCAUUGCAGAUAAUUCGCUAUAGAUUAAACAAAUCUUCAGAAAGCAAAGUUCCGUGAACUGAAACUCUUCUUCCUUGUGAGUUUUCUACAUAAUGAAAACAAUCCAAUGCAAGAAAUUUUGGUUUCCAAAUGAGAAAAAAUUUUAAUACAUGAAUUUUAUUUUAUGAAGAUUGAAAUAAACAUUCUAAAUUUGAGCUCUUUCAAAUCAGAAUUUUAAAAUGUGGAAUUCUUCAAUUUUGGAGUUCUAUUUGACCAAAACAAUGUAAAUAACAACUUUCUUGAUCGAAUUUCUGUUUCGUGAGAUUUUCACGACAUGAAACUUCAAAGUUCCAUUCCAAUUAGGUCCAUUGUUUAUAGGAUUUCCAGCAUUGAAGUGUUUUGAAAAAUCAAAUUUUUUAGAGUUUCAGGAUGUGAAAAUUCCUCACUUUUAGGAAUCCAGGAAACUAACCCUCAUUUUUUCGCCCUUCACAGAAGGAUCAUUCACAAUUUGAUUGGUCAGAUAACUGGGGAUAAAGACUAUGAUCAUUCCAAUCAAUUUCAUUCAGGAAACAUCAUUUGCUGCCCUGACAAUGUACCAAGGCCAUGUUGAAGAGGUUAAGUUGUUGAAUCAAUUUUAAAUAUGCAUCUGUCUUCCAACUGUAAUUUGUCAUGAUUUCAAGUGAUUUUGAAUGACCAUAAAAUGAAGUCAAAGCACCAUUCACCACCAUUAAAUUUCUGGGAAUUUAACAUAUCUAUAAUACUUCAGGAAAAAUCCAUAUUAAUCUGCAAUGUAGUUUAUAGUGUAUACCAACCAUAUACACGCUUCAUUUGUCCUUCAGUUUUAGAUUAUAUUCCAGACAGAAUUCGGUGCUUACAGAAUGUAAAUCAGAAUGGGAUCACAGGAAACAGUUCCCUUGAUAGGAUCAAAACCAGGGCUAGCAGCCCUCUUUGCUGAAAUCAAAGAUUUGCUCUUUAUAGGAGUCAAUGUUUUUUCUGCAUCAGAAGUUUUACACACACUGAAGUACUAAUUUAGAUGCAAAGCAGAAGAUCUUUCCAUGAUUUCAGCAAGAUCAAUGAUCUCAUCCAACAUAAAGUCGAAAGAUCUUUUGUUCCAUAAUCUCCAUUUAGCGGUGGGGUUUUGGAAUAAUGGCAAGGCUAGAGGCCUUAUCUGCUGCUAUUAAGAUUUAACCUCAUUUAUGUAGGAACCAAAAGCUCUUUCAAUACCAAACACCCACUAACAGUGGGACUUUGAAUUUCAAGGCAUGGUAGUAACCUACCUCCAUAAUAUUGAGAUAAGUGAUCUCUUUUAUAUAAAGCCAAAGGCUCUUUAACAUCAAAAUGCCUACUGUAGGGAUUUUGAAGUGAAGGCAAUGGCAAAUGUUUUUCAAUACACAGAUCUAUGAUCUCACAAAUAUUGAGCCAAAGAGUCCUUGUCAGCAAAAUCUCCGCUAAGAUGGAGUUUUUGAUUUAAAGGCAGGGCCUUAGGCCAUCCUCGCAUUGUUGAGACCAGUAACCUCAUCCAGUAUGGAGUCACAAAGACUCUUACAUGAAGGCCUUUACCAUCAGUAUGAGUCCUUAUCUGAAGGCAGGGCCAGUGACAUCAUAUCAGUGAAAUCAAUCCAGGACACUUUCCACUAGCAGUGAAAUUCCCAUUUGACAGGAAGACCUUCCAUUGCAUGAAAUAAGACCAACUGUUUUAGAUAAACAGAGACCAAGGUUCCUAGAAUUCUCUGCUAGAGAAUAGGUUCAUAUUAAAAGCAGCGCCAAAGACCCUCCCUGACAGAUUGAGACUGGUGCUUCUAUCUAAAUAAAGCUUAAGGCUCCUUUGAGAAGAAAUUCUCAAUGGAUUCCAUUCAUUAAUAUAGACCAUACUCCUUUGAGAAGGAAUUCUCAAUGGAUUCCAUUCAUUGAUAUAGACCAUCAAUUCUAACAUCUAUUCUUGAAGAAUUAUGAGGGGGAGAGAAUUCUAAGGUUUCCUUGAAUCCGUUCUUUGAACAUAUUAUGAUGUGCAUAUUUUUACAAGCAGUGCUUAAUAGCAUUUUGGGAAUUGCUUGGUACCCAUAUGGUUCUUUAUGAACCUUUUUGACCAAAAAUAGGGUGGGAGGCCUGCUGGAUAUUUUGGGAAGGUAGAAACAACCUUCCUCGCCUGAUUUGGAGAGGGGUAGUUGCCCCUAUUAUCUGUGGGCCGUCAAAUAUCACCUAACUGACAUGUAUGACAAUUUAUACCCUGAUGGGAGUUAUUGUGAAAAUAAGCUAUCAACUUCUGAGGUCAGACCAGCAGAGUUUAUCAUAAUUCAUAGUCAUCAGGUCUAGUACAAUUGAGCACACCAUUGUUCGAUCCAAAAAGCAAAGUAAGAGUUGAACAUUCAUAAUGGUGAAGCCAGGUUGAGUCUGGCCAAUCCAAUUGAUGAUGACAACCAUAGGACCAUUAGAUGAGUUGGAGCUCAACAACCAACCCAUACCUUAUCCAAACUAUCCACUUGGUUGGGGCCUGCUGGCCAUCCAGAUCAGUGUUAGUCCCAUCAAUUGAAAAAGGCAUACACAUAUCUGGCUCAUCCAUUGAUGGAGAUGGCCAAUUUAAUGACUGUAUUAGGGGAUUGUAUAUCAAUCUAAAAGGCAAGUCAAUUGGUCUGAACUCUACCAUUAGGUAUUCACCCAUUAGAGGUCCGGCAAAAUAUGGCUCAUCGAUUCAAGUAUAGUAUGUUGUACCGUACCGUACCGGACGAUACCGGACAUACCAUACCGUACCGGUUUGGUACCGAUACUAGUAUGGGUGGCAUAUCGACCCUCGGUAUGCCACAAUAUCGUACUGUUCCGUACUGACACUAUGCUAGUGUGGCAACGGUACGGAGUCCGGUACCGGUACGGUGAACCUUGGAUUCAAGCAAAUGCAUUGUCCAUCAGUUAAAGAAAGCAGACCACAUAGCAUGUAAAUUUGAUCAAGAGAACCUGUUGGCUAAUAAAAUGGAAAGUUUGCCCAUCAAAAUUAAGAGGAUAGGCUUCAUGUGUCAAGGCACUGCUGACCAUUAAGAUCUAGCAAGCGGAGUUCUUUGAUAGUAAGAGUGUGAGGGCUGAGCUUAUGCUUUGGGUUCCAUCAUCAAAUUAAAGGCCUUUCCUCUUCUUUUUCCCUUCCAUGUGUCAUCUAACGUGCAAUUUAGAAUCUAAAAAAUGCCCAAAAUGAAUAGCCUAAAGCCCUAAACCUUUGAUUGCCUAUAUAGUAUAAAAUUUUAAAAAAAACAAAGUUAGACUUACCCUUAAAUUGGUCAGCAAAUGAGGUAUAGGAUGUUUAGAUAGAUCCAUGUCAUGUUAGACAUUCCUAACUUGCUGGCAAAUUAGGUCGGGUUCAGAUUGCAUCAGACCCGUACAGACUUGAUAUGGGGCAUUGACUUGACCCAAACCCAACCCAGCAAAACCAAUUGCCAACCCCACUAACGGCAAGCCAAUUGGAGAAAUAAAUAACCCAUUCUGGGAAAGCACUCGCAAAUGGCAAUUUUGUACAAGUAUAAUAUGAUCAAAAUGAGAUUGAGUAGGAAUCUUAGCAGUUAAACUUUAAUAGUUAAUUUUCUUAAAGAUGAUGAUGUACCAAAAAAUAGAACCUGUGCAUUAUUCACUAGCAAGGUGCACGACUAAAAAAAAUAGCAACCAAGAAAUGAUUUCACACAACAAAUCACAUAGGAGGCUUCACAAGUGGUGCCAAUAAUUAAAUCAUAAGGAUUUUAAUAUUCCUAACAACAUGAUAUCAUUUUGUCUAGCGAUUGUUAGGGUCUUCAUUUCAAUAGUACCCACUAUUCAAGCUUGGCGGGUAUACAAUAUUGUAAAGCAAAUCCUAUGCUUAGGGCAUUGCAUAAGCUUUAGUGCCGAACCUAUUCAAAUCGGGUGGUUCGGCUCGUACUGAACCGAACCGAUGCCGACCUAGAAUGGUUUAGCCAGUUGGAUCAGUUUGGCCAUUAUAACCUCUCGCUUGCCCCCCCCCCCCACCCACAACCUUUAUUGAACACUCUCAAAGACGAAAUCCUAGCUCCACCACUCUUUCUCUUUCCACACCGGCCACCGCAGAGAAGGUAGGUCCUCUCUCUCAACCGCAUCUAGAUGGUGGUCAAAGCCUCAAAGGGCUCCAAGUGGAGAUGCUCCCGCUCCCCCUCCUCGGCAUCCCCCCUCUCUCCCGACCACAUCACAGUUGGUGGUCGAAGCCUCAAAGAGCUCCAGGGGGAGGUUCUCCCUCUCCUCCCACUCUAGCAGCGCCCCUUUCUCUCCUUCUCCCUCUCCCUCCCUCCCCCUCCUUCUCCCUCUCCUCAUGUCCCCUUCUCCCUCUCCCUAUUUCAGUAUUAUGCCCCGAAAUGGCACAAUAUGAACCCAUACCGUACCAAACUGGUCGCCAACCAAUACAACCUUUGGUACAGUUUGGCGAGCCUUGCUUUAGACUUUCAUUCUAGUUGCAACACCUAUUUCUGACAUUCCCAAUGCAUGUUAGUUUACAAACACAUAUAUCAUGUACCUAGUAAUUUUUAACAAUGAAGUUCAUUUAUAGUGGAAAGAAGGGCACAAAAUGGGAAGUUGUAUCUAAUAAUAAACUGACACUAUCUUAUACACCUUUUCAACACAUUCUUGGUUCCUUUUUUCUCAAGCACAUCUCUCCUCACUCCAACACA
rnacentral:lncRNA from 1 species